rnacentral:lncRNA from 1 species
GCUUCAGAAUAUUCUGCUGAGUGGAUAUAUCACAGUUCCCUUAAUCAGUUCCAAAUGGUUACAUAUUCAGACAUCAUCCCGCUCUGUCGCCCAGGCUGGAGUGCAGUGGUGCGAUCUCGGCUUACCGCAAGUUCCACCUCCCGGGUUCACACCAUUCUCCUGCCUCAGCCUUCUGAGAAGCUGGGACUACAGGCGCCCGCCAUCAUGUCCGGCUAAUUUUUUUGUAUUUUUAGUAGAGACGGAGUUUCACAGUGUUAGCCAGGAUAGCCUUGAUUUCCUGACCUUGUGAUUCGCCCGCCUCGGCCUCCCAAAGUGCUGGGAUUACAAGCGUGAGCCACUGCGUCUGGCCUCCACUCUUUUGAAAAUCUUUACCAAGGGAUGUCUUGGUUCUCUUUCAAUGGCGGAGACAGCAUAUGUGUUUGUGCAUUACUUGAAGAUCUUCCACUCUACCAGAUGAAACUGGGAAAGGACAAUGUACCAAAGAGUAUCCAAGCACAGAAGGGAAUCUCAGUUUGAAGUUAGAAUUGAAUCCAAGAGGAAGAGAAGCAUCCUUCCUUCAGUGCCUUUGUGGUGGUGCUUGGUGAGAGAUAGUGGUGAAGGCAUUGCCUAAAGAGAGAGGCACUAACAGGCAGAGGAGUGGUUGAGACCAGUAAGAACUGCCCUGCCUGGUGGAGCAGAGGCAGAAGCUGAUGCCCAGGCUCUGCAGCAUCUAUAGGGAACUUGGUGCCUGCAGUGCUCAUCAAAUGAUCCAGAGGCCUCCUUGAACACUGCAAAACCCAGAAGAAAUUACCAUGCCAACGGAGCAGAACCAGAUCCUUUGGGGAAACACAGCGCUGGUGGAAGAACUAUAGCUCCAGCCACAGCUGAACUACAUUUUCUAGCAAUCCUCAGAAUAAGAUGUGGUCAUUGACUGAAUUCUGGACAAUGGAAUGGAGUAGAGUGAAAUACAUCACUCCUAGGUUUGGCCUGUCAAAUCUCAUGCACAAUUCUGUACAUUCAUGUGCCAGCCUCUCCUCGGGUGGGGACUCCAAGCACUUUGGAGUUGGUGGAGCCACAAGAUGGAUCUGAGAUCUUUGCUAAGGUAGGGUUUCCCUGGCUGGCCUAUAGCUGACUGUGACAUAAGAGAGAAAUAAAUUUUGAUUUUCUUAAGCUCCCAAAAGUUUUGAGAUUGUUUGUUACAGCCAUGAGUCUUCCCUGAUUAAUACAAAUGCAAUGUCUAUUCUGUGCCAGCCUUAUUCUGGGUACUAGGGAUGCAACAGGAAACAAAUAAGAGACAUGAUUCCUCCUCUCACAGGAGAUACCUUAUAAAAGGGGUGGCACACAAUAAACAGUGACAACUUACAUUUGCAUGGUGCUUUACUGUUUACACAGUGCUUUCAUGGGCACCAACUCAUUUAAUUUUUUUUUUUUUUUUGAGUUGGAGACUUGCUCUGCUGCCCAGGCUGGAGUGCAGUGGUGCAAUCUCGGCUUAUUGCAACCUCUGCCUUCCAGGUUGAAGCGAUU